CUACCCAACUCUACGGAAUAACGCAUGGAAACGUGUGCCAAUACCGUAUACGCCCUUCGGGGGAAAGAUUUAUCGGAGUUGGAUGAGCCCGCGUUGGAUUAGCUAGUUGGUGGGGUAAAGGCCUACCAAGGCGACGAUCCAUAGCUGGUCUGA
rnacentral:rRNA from 1 species